GUUAAACCACGGAGCUGGAGAGCACCAGGCUGGCACUGGGGCAGAGGCUGUAAAUUUGGGAUCAUCAGUGUAAGAGAUUGGGGCAAGAUGGAGAGCUCUGCAUGAGACCCCAAAUCUCACUGUAAGGCAGCUGUCUAACAGAGAGCUUUGACGUUGUGAAUAAGAGAAGUGACUUCAACACAUGCUGCUCCUCUUUCCCCUGGUUCCACUAGACUUUCCUACUGUGCACGCACAAGGAGGAGAGGACAUGACUCCUUCAUGGACACAAAUUCUUGGCGCUCUCAGUCUUACAGAAUGGUGGGAGUUUAUUCUCUGUUUUUCUCAGCAAUUUUCUCUCAACAACUGCUCUCAGCAACUUGAAACAAAUGCUGGGUUGGUCUGACCUUUGACAAUGUUGUCUGAAUCCUUCCUUGUGUCUUCUGUUGUGAAUGUAUAACAGUAUAAUACAGUAGCACACACAGCAUUACCUGCAUUUCUGCUUUUUUUUAAUUUUGUUUUGUUUUGUCUUGUUUUUUUUUUUUGUUUUUUUUUUUUGAGGGAGUGAUUUUUCUUACAUAUACAGCCUGAAAUGUAUUUGUUUUGCCAGAAAUCUGUGCCAUUAUUCCUGCCUUUUAUCAAUUCAAAUUUUUCUUAUUACAUAGCAACUGAUGAGCCAAACUCCCCAGGGCCUGAUCAUUAGGCAAAAAUCCUCAUCUGAAAUCAAAGGGAGUUUCAGCCUAAAGGGUGGGACUGUCUGUCAUGAAUACAGAAAAACAUCAUCAAAAUGGAUCACACCAUCAUGUAUGAGUAAUCAGAAUAGCCAAAUGUGUUUUAACCUUUUUAGUGGAAAUAAUAUUUAAAAAGAAUUACC
rnacentral:lncRNA from 1 species